CUUGGGGUUUUUUUGACAGCAGGGCUUUUGGCAGCAGUGGCCGGGAGCAGCAAAGGUCGCGCCAGGGAAAAGGAAAUAAUUUACCACAGGAGAUGCUGAAAUACUAGAUAUGAACACUAAUAGCUGUAGUCACAUCAGAGGCAUAUGUGCCAUUUAAUAGCAAGUCUGAAUCCCAUCAUUCAUUUGAACAUUGCAGAUUUUCAACAAGCAAGGUCUGCAUUUGGAAAGGUGUUUUCUGUUGCUUUUAUUGUGUCAUGAUGGGAAUUAAUGAGGACAGGAUGCUUCAGAAAAAAGUGGUGGAGAAUUGUUCUCAGAAGUUGUGGGCUGCUAUUGGAACUUCAGGCACUUAGGACUGAGGAGCACCCUCUCUUCAGUGCUUCCAGUUCUGGGGUCUCAGGCAUUUACUUGAUUGGAAUUGAAGCAGCCACUACUACUUCUGAAAUUCUUUUCGGAAAAACUAACAGGAGCUUUUUUAGAAAUGGUUCUAAAACAGCAAUUCUAUUCUAUUUCUUCAUCCUAUUUGAAAAUUCACUUCAUUCAGACAUGAAAAAAUAG
rnacentral:lncRNA from 1 species